rnacentral:rRNA from 1 species
UACGAAGGGGGCUAGCGUUGCUCGGAAUCACUGGGCGUAAAGCGCACGUAGGCGGCUUUCUAAGUCAGGGGUGAAAUCCUGGAGCUCAACUCCAGAACUGCCUUUGAUACUGGAGAGCUUGAGUCCGGGAGAGGUGAGUGGAACUCCGAGUGUAGAGGUGAAAUUCGUAGAUAUUCGGAAGAACAUCAGUGGCGAAGGCGGCUCACUGGCCCGGUACUGACGCUGAUGUGCGAAAGCGUGGGGAGCAAACAGG